UACGGAGGGUGCGAGCGUUAAUCGGAAUUACUGGGCGUAAAGGGCGCGUAGGCGGCUGAUCAAGUCAGGUGUGAAAGCCCACGGCUUAACCGUGUGAAGUGCAUCUGAAACUGGUCGGCUUGAGUAUCGGAGAGGAAAGUGGAAUUCCCGGUGUAGAGGUGAAAUUCGUAGAUAUCGGGGGAGUACGUGGCGAGCGACUUCUGACGAAUACUGACGCUGAGGCGCGAAAGACGUGGGA
rnacentral:rRNA from 1 species